AAAAAGGACAGCCUGGAACAACUAACCCUCGCCACCGGACGGUCCUUGCAGCAUAGAUGGCCCAGACCAGCUCACUCUUCCUUCCCACUGAGGGGAAGUUGAAAGGACUUGACAAGAUUCAAAACUCUUAAAACUUCAAAACACAAGUAACUUCCAAUCUUUUCAAAUGAAGACAUAGAUUUCCAACAUGUUUUCACAGCACAGGAACCAGAGACUCCAUGACAUCGACAGUCAACUGUCAUCAAUUUAGCCACUGCCUAAUGGAAUAGACCCAUAAUCAUCAGAUCAUCACAAUC